rnacentral:rRNA from 1 species
AACGUAGGAGGCGAGCGUUAUCCGGAUUUAUUGGGCGUAAAGCGCAUGCAGGCGGUUUACCAAGUCGGACAUGAAAGCUCCUGGCUCAACUGGGAGAGGCUGUUCGAAACUGGUAGACUUGAGGAUGGUAGAGGUGAGUGGAAUUCCCGGUGUAGUGGUGAAAUGCGUAGAUAUCGGGAGGAACACCAGUGGCGAAGGCGGCUCACUGGGCCAUUCCUGACGCUCAGAUGCGAAAGCUAGGGGAGAGAACGGG